rnacentral:rRNA from 1 species
GAUGAACGCUGGCGGCGUGCCUAAUACAUGCAAGUCGAGCGAACGGACGAGAAGCUUGCUUCUCUGAUGUUAGCGGCGGACGGGUGAGUAACACGUGGAUAACCUACCUAUAAGACUGGGAUAACUUCGGGAAACCGGAGCUAAUACCGGAUGAUAUUUUGAACCGCAUGGUUCAAAAGUGAAAGACGGUCUUGCUGUCACUUAUAGAUGGAUCCGCGCUGCAUUAGCUAGUUGGUAAGGUAACGGCCUACCAAGGCAACGAUGCAUAGCCGACCUGAGAGGGUGAUCAGCCACACUGGAACUGAGACACGGUCCAGACUCCUACGGGAGGCAGCAGUAGGGAAUCUUCCGCAAUGGGCGAAAGCCUGACGGAGCAACGCCGCGUGAGUGAUGAAGGUCUUCGGAUCGUAAAACUCUGUUAUUAGGGAAGAACAUAUGUGUAAGUAACUGUGCACAUCUUGACGGUACCUAAUCAGAAAGCCACGGCUAACUACGUG